rnacentral:rRNA from 1 species
CAUAGCGACUAUCGUGGCAUAUCAAUAAGCGGAGGAAAAGAAACUAACAAGGAUUCCCUUAGUAACGGCGAGUGAAGCGGGAAGAGCUCAAAUUUGAAAUCUUCAAGGUUCUACCUUGACGAAUUGUAGUUUAUAGAAGUGUUUUCUGUUAGUAGGAGUGGCAAAAGUUCUUUGGAAUAGGACAUCAUAGAGGGUGAGAAUCCCGUAUUUGGUCAUUCCUCUCUAGCUUUGUGAUACACUUUCAACGAGUCGGAUUGUUUGGGAAUGCAGUCCAAAAUGGGUGGUAAAUUUCAUCUAAAGCUAAAUAUUGGCGAGAGACCGAUAGCGAACAAGUACCGUGAGGGAAAGAUGAAAAGAACUUUGAAAAGAGAGUUAAACAGUACGUGAAAUUGUCAAAAGGGAAGCGUUUGACACCAGUGUUGUUUAGUUGAAAAUCAAUUCAAUAAUUUUUGAUUUUGAGUAGUAUUGACUUCAUCAGCUUGCUGCUUUCUUUUCGGAAAUUAUUGAAUGCACUUUUCAGUUAACAAGUCAACAUCAAUUUCUUUUGUUGUAAAAGGGUAAGAGGAAGGUGGCUUACGCUUCGGCGUAAGUGUUUAUAGCCUUUUACCUCUGCAAUCGGAGAGAUUGAGGACAGCAGCGUAGACUCUUCGGGGUUAGAUACACUUGUGCUAAGCUAUAGCCUUGUAUAGACAACUUGUUGACUAUGCUCAGUCAUGUAGCUUACUCGCUUGUGCUAUUUUACCUACGCUUAGGAUGUUGAUAUGCAUGACUGAUA